rnacentral:rRNA from 1 species
AGGGAAUUUUCCGCAAUGGGCGAAAGCCUGACGCAGCGACGCCGCGUGAGCGAUGAAGGCCUUCGGGUUGUAAAGCUCUGUCCUUGGGGAAGAAGGUCUUCGGACUUGACGGUACCCAAGAAGAAAGCCCCGGCUAACUACGUGCCAGCAGCCGCGGUAAUACGUAGGGGGCGAGCGUUGUCCGGAAUUACUGGGCGUAAAGGGUGCGUAGGCGGCCCUUUAAGUCAGAUGUGAAAGCCCGCAGCUUAACUGCGGAAUUGCAUUUGAAACUGGAGGGCUUGAGUGUCGGAGAGGGUAGUGGAAUUCCCAGUGUAGCGGUGAAAUGCGUAGAUAUUGGGAGGAACACCAGUGGCGAAGGCGACUGCCUGGACGAUAACUGACGCUGAGGCACGAAAGCUAGGGGAGCAAAC